rnacentral:rRNA from 1 species
GACGAACGCUGGCGGCGUGCCUAAUACAUGCAAGUAGAACGCACAGUUUAUACCGUAGCUUGCUACACCAUAGACUGUGAGUUGCGAACGGGUGAGGAACGCGUAGGUAACCUGCCUGGUAGCGGGGGAUAACUAUUGGAAACGAUAGCUAAUACCGCAUAAUAUUAAUUAUUGCAUGAUAAUUAAUUGAAAGGUGCAAUUGCACCACUACCAGAUGGACCUGCGUUGUAUUAGCUAGUAGGUGAGGUAACGGCUCACCUAGGCGACGAUACAUAGCCGACCUGAGAGGGUGAUCGGCCACACUGGGACUGAGACACGGCCCAGACUCCUACGGGAGGCAGCAGUAGGGAAUCUUCGGCAAUGGACGAAAGUCUGACCGAGCAACGCCGCGUGAGUGAAGAAGGUUUUCGGAUCGUAAAGCUCUGUUGUAAGAGAAGAACGGGUGUGAGAGUGGAAAGUUCACACUGUGACGGUAUCUUACCAGAAAGGGACGGCUAACUACGUG